GGGCGAUUUCGUAUCAGCUAGUUGGUAGGGUAACGGCCUACCAAGGCGAUGACGCGUAGCCGGACUGAGAGGUUGGCCGGCCACAUUGGGACUGAGACACUGCCCAGACUCCUACGGGGGGCUGCAGUAACGAAUCUUCCGCAAUGCACGAAAGUGUGACGGAGCGACGCCGCGUGUAGGACGAAGCCCUUCGGGGUGUAAACUACUGUCAGGGGUUAGAAAGUUCUGAUCAACCCCAGAGGAAGGCACGGCUAACUCUGUGCCAGCAGCCGCGGUAAGACAGAGGUGCCAAGCGUUAGGCGGAAUCACUGGGCUUAAAGCGUGUGUAGGUGGAUGCCUAAGUACCUUGUGAAGUCCCACGGCUUAACCAUGGAACUGCUUGGUAUACUGGGUGUCUUGAGCCAACUAGGGGCAGUCGGAACAAACGGUGGAGCGGUGAAAUGCGUAGAUAUCGUUUGGAACGCCAAUGGUGAAAACAGACUGCUGGGGUUGUGCUGACACUGAGACACGAAAGCCAGGGGAGCAAACGGGAUUAGAUACCCCGGUAGUCCUGGCUGUAAACGAUGUCCACUAGAUCGUGGCGCCUCUGACGGUGUCAUGGUCGAAGCAAAAGUGCUAAGUGGACCGCCUGGGAAGUACGGUCGCAAGGCUAAAACUCAAAGGAAUUGACGG
rnacentral:rRNA from 1 species